AACUCACACGAGAGCAGAAAAACAGGGCCAGCAACAGGACCACAGUGUCUACUGCAGCCUGAGGAAGGGUCAGAAGGAGAACAACUAACGCCUGCCUUCACUUACUUUUCUUGGCCCGGGAGAGGCCAGUCCUUGGCCUGGGGGGGCUAAAGUUGCUGGGGCUGAGGGAAAUGCGGCUGGCAGGAGGGGGAGUUGGGAGGUUGUAGAGAUAGCAGCCCACACCACCAAUGUUGACCCCUGCAGAGAGAAGACCCAAUAAUGGAGGUCAGGCUCUAGUUCCUAGCCACAAGGAAAGUUUGUGGCCCCUGGCCCCUUCUAGGCUGGAACUUACCUCUAGGUCCAAAGAGAGCCCCAUAGCAAGGCUUGUGGCAGUAUGGUCUCCCGUUGUGCUGGGCACAAGCACAGGCAGAGGGAAGGGUCACUCAGGGCCAAAGGGACAUGCAUGCCUGUACAGGCUUUCUCAAUCCAAGCUGUCAGGUGCAUAUGUGCACUGCAGCUAGUCUGAUGGAUCUUGUAGGGAUGGGUGGUAGGCUAGCGUGUCCAAUUGCCAUUGUGGAAUAGGGGUAGAGGUGGGAGACAGAGCAGCUGCGUACCCCUCCCUCAGAACCAUGGGUCAGCAGCAGCUCUGAGCCUGUCAAACUCUGGCUCACAUGAGGCUCAAUGGGUGGGUCACCCCGAGCUUGUUUGUGGAGGUUCCUUUGCCUUUGACAGGUCUCCAAGGCUGAAAUUGGGGUCUAUAGGAGUAGGGGUGUGACAGAGGACUGUCACCCUGGCCAGGCCUCACCUCUGCAUGCCCGCCAGGGGACAAGAUGCUGUGACAGCGCUCACAUUUCAGGCAGAAACGGUGCCAGUUCUUGCCUAAGGAGCUCACCUUCUCAGCUGUGGGGAACAAGGUGGGUUCGGGCUGCAAAAAAUCCAGCCCAGCCCUGCUUUUGCCCUUUCAGCCUUCUGGGAAAACCGGCCCAGCCAGCCUCGCUCCCUGGAGACAAUGAAUAUUGUUUCCAGGAAGAAGCUCCAUCCCACCCUGGUGUCUCUUGCUUGGGCUCUUGGAGGUGUGGCAGGCACUUUGUUUUCAAGCGCAAGCGCGCGCGAGAGACACACACACACACACACACACACACACACACACACACACACACACACACAAAUACAGGGGACCCGGGGGCUCAAGGUUGCCUUUACUCCUCCUAGGUCCCAGCCUUACCAAAGUAAACGGGUUGCUGACAACGCGGACAAGUCCAGCUCAUGGUUCUUCAUGAGAUAGCUUAGUCCAAGCAGCAACUAUAGGAGCCCGCUGAUAUGCCCCGCCCCUCCACCAGCCCUGCCCACUAUUCAGCUUUGAGCCCGUUUGAGUUGUGGCUGCUCAUUGGGCACACACACACACACACACACACACACACACACACACACACACACACACACACAAACUUAGAACUGAGGGACCCUGAGACUUAUCAACUUACUUUAAAGAACUUCAAAGUGGGAUACAGACUUGGGAGGGAGGGAGCCCUGAGUUCAAUGGCCUCUCUGGUCAGUGAGAAGCAAGAAAAGGCACCAUCAGGCAUUCUUUAAGUGGUUUAAUUCUUCCUUAGUGGAGGAGGGCCGGAAGCAAGGGAAUGUGAAGGCCAUCUUCGCUAAACCAUAUUUUUUGUUUGUACUGGAAGUAGUAACAUGGUAACAGUCUCCAUGGCACAGGGUUGUAAUGAGAACUGGGCAAGUUAAUCUCAACAGCGCAGUGCCAGGCACAUAACUGCUAUGCAAGCACCAUGAAGAACCCUGUGCAUAUAUAUAGAACUCACAUCCCGGUCUAUAAGUCCCAAAAUGUGCCCCUACGUACAGCUGGUCUACAACCUGCUCAUACGAUUAUCACAUCUGUUAAACACCAGCCACAUAUUUCUAACUUAGUUUAAGAGUGUAAAAUGGGGGGUUGGCGAGAUGGCUCAGUGGUUAAGAGCACCAACUGCUCUUCUGAAGGUCCUGAGUUCAAAUCCCAGCAACCACAUGGUGGCUCACAACCAUCCGUAAUGAGAUCUGUUGCCCUCUUAUGGUGUGUCUGAAGACAGCUACAGUAUACUUACAUAUAACAAUAAAUAAAUCUUUAAAAAAAAAAAAGAGUGUAAAAUGUUGUGGAGUCACCAAUGAUCACCCCAGAAGGUGAGGGAUAGUUCCAACCCAAUGGUCACACAGAUGGCUCCGGUUAAACUAAAUGGGUCACAGAACAAAACACAAACUGAAGAUGAUGAACCUGGGAAGGAACAGUAGGGACCCAAGUGGUAGUGUUCAAAAUGAGACAGGAGAUGGUGUGUAGGAUGGCAGAAAUCAGACUACAUUACAGACUUGUGAAACUGACAAAUAACAAAAUUAAUUUAAAAAAACCCCGUAGAAACCACUGCCCCCAAAUCAUUGAUAGAAUAAAUUUAAGUUGUAGAAUGCAUUUUAACUUUUAAAGCAGACUUUAUUAUAAACAUUAUUUUUUUACCAGUUAUGCAGUUAUUCAGAUGAGAUUUUUUUAAAAGAUGUCUUUUUAAAAAGAUUUAUUUACUUAUUUUUGUAUAUGAGUACACUGUAGCUGUACAGAUGGUUGUGAGCCUUCAUGUGGUUGUUGGCAAUUUAAUUUUUUUUUAGGACCUCUGCUCACUCCAGUCAGCCCCACUCACUCCAGUCAGCCCAAAAAAUGUCUUAAAAAUGUGUUUUGCUAUAUUGGUGCACUGUGUGCAUGCAGUGCCCUGAGACCAGAAGGGGGUGUGGGACCCCCUGGAAAUGGAGCUGCAUGUGUUUGCGACAUCAUCACUUAAGUGCUGAGCUUUCUCUCCAGCCCAUUCAGAUAGGG
rnacentral:lncRNA from 1 species